rnacentral:rRNA from 1 species
UACGUAGGGUGCAAGCGUUAAUCGGAAUUACUGGGCGUAAAGCGUGCGCAGGCGGUCAUGCAAGACAGAUGUGAAAUCCCCGGGCUCAACCUGGGAACUGCAUUUGUGACUGCAUGGCUGGAGUGCGGCAGAGGGGGAUGGAAUUCCGCGUGUAGCAGUGAAAUGCGUAGAUAUGCGGAGGAACACCGAUGGCGAAGGCAAUCCCCUGGGCCAUUACUGACGCUGAGGAGCGAAAGCGUGGGGAGCGAACAGG